UACGAAGGGUGCAAGCGUUGUUCGGAAUUACUGGGCGUAAAGAGCGCGUAGGCGGUUUAUUAAGUCAGACGUGAAAGCCCUGGGCUCAACCCGGGAAUUGCGUUUGAUACUGGUAGGCUUGAGAUUCAGAGAGGUGAGUGGAAUUCCUAGUGUAGCAGUGAAAUGCGUAGAUAUUAGGAGGAACAUCAGUGGCGAAGGCGGCUCACUGGCUGAACACUGACGCUAAGGCGCGAAAGCGUGGGGAGCAAACAGGAUUAGAAACCCCAGUAGU
rnacentral:rRNA from 1 species